GCAGCAUGAUCUAGCUUGCUAGAUUGAUGGCGAGUGGCGAACGGGUGAGUAAUACAUCGGAACGUGCCCUGUAGUGGGGGAUAACUAGUCGAAAGAUUAGCUAAUACCGCAUACGACCUGAGGGUGAAAGUGGGGGACCGCAAGGCCUCAUGCUAUAGGAGCGGCCGAUGUCUGAUUAGCUAGUUGGUGGGGUAAAGGCCUACCAAGGCGACGAUCAGUAGCUGGUCUGAGAGGACGAUCAGCCACACUGGGACUGAGACACGGCCCAGACUCCUACGGGAGGCAGCAGUGGGGAAUUUUGGACAAUGGGCGAAAGCCUGAUCCAGCAAUGCCGCGUGUGUGAAGAAGGCCUUCGGGUUGUAAAGCACUUUUGUCCGGAAAGAAAUCGCACCUGAUAAUACCGGGUGUGGAUGACGGUACCGGAAGAAUAAGGACCGGCUAACUACGUGCCAGCAGCCGCGGUAAUACGUAGGGUCCAAGCGUUAAUCGGAAUUACUGGGCGUAAAGCGUGCGCAGGCGGUUGUGCAAGACCGAUGUGAAAUCCCCGAGCUUAACUUGGGAAUUGCAUUGGUGACUGCACGGCUAGAGUGUGUCAGAGGGGGGUAGAAUUCCACGUGUAGCAGUGAAAUGCGUAGAGAUGUGGAGGAAUACCGAUGGCGAAGGCAGCCCCCUGGGAUAACACUGACGCUCAUGCACGAAAGCGUGGGGAGCAAACAGGAUUAGAUACCCUGGUAGUCCACGCCCUAAACGAUGUCAACUAGUUGUUGGGGAUUCAUUUCCUUAGUAACGUAGCUAACGCGUGAAGUUGAGCGCCUGGGGAGUACGGUCGCAAGAUUAAAACUCAAAGGAA
rnacentral:rRNA from 1 species